rnacentral:lncRNA from 1 species
CCCUGCUCUUCUCUAGCCGUCCCUAACCUCACUCUCUCACCCGUAUCUUUCACCCCCUUUCCACUCUCUCUCUCUCUCUCUCUCUCUCCCUUCUCGCCUCCACUCACCUCCACUCCCGCUCACUCUCUUCACACUCUCUCCUCCCCGCUCCUCCAAUUCUGUCCCCUACACUCUCCUUUUCUCUCCUCCUUUCACUCUACUAGAAACCCUCUCCUAUACUUUACGCCGCCGGAAACGGAAGUCCUGAAAUAAUAAUAAUAUUAAUCUACUUACCAUCGAGCAUAUAUAAAAUCCAUCGGAGGAAUGAACAUUGAUGAUGCCGUUAAGAGAAUAUUAUAUAAAACAUUUUCGAAUAAAUUGGCAGAGAGGUAUAAUUGGAAAGGCCUACGGGGAAAAGAACCACUAUGUAAUCUGGAAAUUAUAAAAGUAAUAUUCAGAUCCAUACUUGACAAUAUCUCAGAUUCCGGUCAAAGCAAAAUACAGCGGAGGAUAAUAGAGUGGUUUCGACACUCUAAAGCAAGGAGGCAGAAUGAGGAGAAGCGGGACAAUAAUAUACUCCAUUCUGAGUAACCAUUCUGUACAAAAUCAAAAUGGAAACAUUAAACAGGCGCGUUCACGGAGACGCUAUUUGCGCUAUUUAUAGCGCUAUAGAUCGUUCACGGAGCU